AACGCACCUUGCGCUCCUUGGUAUUCCGAGGAGCAUGCCUGUUUGAGUGUCAUGAAACUCUCACCCUUCAACUUUCUUAAUAGUGGUUGGAGGCGUGGACUUGAGCGCUGCUGGUUUUUAUUAACCGGCUCGCUUGAAAUGAAUUAGCAGAUCCUUUUUGUAAUCGGUUCCACUCGACGUGAUAAGUAUUUCGCCGAGGACAUCUUAACGGAUGGCCGAGAUAAAGAAAGUCUUUAGAUCCGCUUCUAAUUCUUAGCCUUACGCAAGUAAGCUAAACCCAUUUUAUGAUCUGGCCUCAAAUCAGGUAGGACUACCCGCUGAACUUAA
rnacentral:misc_RNA from 1 species